UGCCAGCAGCCGCGGUAAUACGGAGGAUCCRRGCGUUAUCCGGAUUUAUUGGGUUUAAAGGGUGCGUAGGUGGCCUGUUAAGUCAGGGGUGAAAGACGGUAGCUUAACUAUCGCAGUGCCCUUGAUACUGAUGGGCUUGAAUGAACUAGAGGYAGGCGGAAUGUGACAAGUAGCGGUGAAAUGCAUAGAUAUGUCACAGAACACCRAUUGCGAAGGCAGCUURCUAUGGUUUKAUUGACACUGAGGCACGAAAGCGUGGGGAUCAAACAGGAUUAGAUACCCUGGUAGUCCACGCCCUAAACGAUGAAUACUCGAUGUUGGCGAUAUAYGGUCAGCGUCUAAGCGAAAGCGUUAAGUAUUCCACCUGGGGAGUACGCCCGCAAGGGUGAAACUCAAAGGAAUUGACGGGGGCCCGCACAAGA
rnacentral:rRNA from 1 species